GAUGAACGCUGGCGGCGUGCCUAAUACAUGCAAGUCGAGCGAAUGGAUUAAGAGCUUGCUCUUAUGAAGUUAGCGGCGGACGGGUGAGUAACACGUGGGUAACUUGCCCAUAAGACUGGGAUAACUCCGGGAAACCGGGGCUAAUACCGGAUAACAUUUUGAACCGCAUGGUUCGAAAUUGAAAGGCGGCUUCGGCUGUCACUUAUGGAUGGACCCGCGUCGCAUUAGCUAGUUGGUGAGGUAACGGCUCACCAAGGCAACGAUGCGUAGCCGACCUGAGAGGGUGAUCGGCAACACUGGGACUGAGACACGGCCCAGACUCCUACGGGAGGCAGCAGUAGGGAAUCUUCCGCAAUGGACGAAAGUCUGACGGAGCAACGCCGCGUGAGUGAUGAAGGCUUUCGGGUCGUAAAACUCUGUUGUUAGGGAAGAACAAGUGCUAGUUGAAUAAGCUGGCACCUUGACGGUACCUAACCAGAAAGCCACGGCUAACUACGUGCCAGCAGCCGCUGUAA
rnacentral:rRNA from 1 species